UUUUAUGUUUUACACCUGAAAAAACACAGAGGAAAACGAGCCGGGGCCCGUAACAGAUUGAGGAAUAGAGCUCAUAGGCCUCCACUGCCUAGCAUUCUUCUAGCCAAUGUCCAGUCUCUUGUGAACAAGAUGGAUGAACUAAGAGCGAGGAUACAGUUUCAAAGAGACAUCAGGGACUGUAACAUUCUAUGCUUUACUGAGACAUGGCUAACUGAACUUGUACCGGACUGUGCCAUCACUCCGGUGGAGUUUUUCUCUGCUGCUCGCUCUGACAGGACUGAGGAAUCUGGAAAAUCGAAAGGUGGCGGUGUUUGCAUCAUGACGAACAGCAAGU